UGCCUAAGAGGGCUUCUCUCCACCUCCACACUGUUAGCUCUUGUAGCAGUAACUUAAAACCAGCUUCUUCCUGAGGUCUGUUGACCAAGGCCGUGGCUCCUUUUCACCUUGUCUAUCUGGAUGCAUUUCCCGAUCCCAGCAGAGGGCAGGACAGGCUCACAGAAGACUCGAAAAUGGUCCUCACUGCUUUUCAGCAUGACCGAGGUAAAUUGCUCCCGCUACAAGAGGCAGGGGAUAAUGAGAGACUCUUGUUCCUGCCUUGCAGCCGCCUUGAUGUUGCAGAGAUGAUGUUUCAUAGGAAAUGAAAGCCCAGGCUUCCACCCUUUUAAAUCACAACCAGACCUAAGUUUCUGGCCCAUCCCUAUGGCAAUAGCUUGUCUGAUACAUCUGUAACCCGUUAGCGGAAUAUACCAGGGCAGGGUUUAUUCAUGAUUAAAGAGCUGUUUGGAACCAUUUUCAUCAAAAUGAUCCUCUCACU